AUGGUUGGAUGAAAAAAGAUCUGUCUUAGGUUAAUUUUUAUAUGAAUUUUAUUUUUGAGUUAAAAAGCUUAAAUUUGUUUUAAAGACGAGAAGACCCUAUAGAGUUUAAUAUUUAUUUAAAUUAUUAAUUUUAGGUAUUUGUUUUUGAUAUAUUUAGGUAAAUAUUUUGUUGGGGUGACCGAAAAAUUGAAUGAACUUUUUUUAAUGUAUAAUACUAAUUAGUAAUUUUUUGAUCCAGUUAUUUUGAUUAUAAGAUUAAAUUACCUUAGGGAUAACAGCGUAAUUUUUUUGGAGAGUUCUAAUCGAUAAAAAAGUUUGCGACCUCGAUGUUGGAUUAAAAUUUAUAAUUGGUGUAGAAGCUAAUUUAUUAGGUCUGUUCGACCUUUAAAAUUUUACAUGAUCUGAGUUUAAACCGGUGUGAGCCAGGUUGGUUUCUAUCUUGAAUUUAUUUAAAUAUUUUAGUACGAAAGGACCAAUUAUUUAUAAUAUUUAUUAGUUUUUGAAUUAAAUUGUUACUUUGGCAGAUUAGUGCAUUAAAUUUAGAAUUUAAAAAUGUAUAUAUACAGGUAAUACUUGAUUU
rnacentral:rRNA from 1 species